rnacentral:rRNA from 1 species
GACGAACGCUGGCGGCGUGCCUAACACAUGCAAGUCGAACGGUAAGGCCCUUCGGGGUACACGAGUGGCGAACGGGUGAGUAACACGUGGGUGAUCUGCCCUGCACUUCGGGAUAAGCCUGGGAAACUGGGUCUAAUACCGGAUAGGACCACUGCCUGCAUGGGUGGUGGUGGAAAGCUUUUGCGGUGUGGGAGGGGCCCGCGGCCUAUCAGCUUGUUGGUGGGGUGAUGGCCUACCAAGGCGACGACGGGUAGACGGCCUGAGAGGGUGACCGGCCACACUGGGACUGAGAUACGGCCCAGACUCCUACGGGAGGCAGCAGGGGGGAAUAUUGCACAAUGGGCGCAAGCCUGAUGCAGCGACGCCGCGUGAGGGAUGACGGCCUUCGGGUUGUAAACCUCUUUCAGCACCGACGAAGCGCAAGUGACGGUAGGUGCAGAAGAAGGACCGGCCAACUACGUGCCAGCCGCCGCAGUAA